rnacentral:snRNA from 1 species
GAUUUUGUAAACACAGGCUAUGGUUUAUCCGAGGCAUGAUUAUUGCUAGUUGAAAACUUUUCCCAAUACCCCGCCUGGAGGACGUGAAUACCGUCCACCAUCGCAAUUUUUAUGAGCCCCAACA